rnacentral:rRNA from 1 species
UACGAAGGGGGCAAGCGUUGUUCGGAAUUACUGGGCGUAAAGGGCGCGUAGGCGGCCUGCUAAGUCGAACGUGAAAUCCCCGGGCUCAACCCGGGAACUGCGUUCGAUACUGGUUGGCUUGAAUCCGGGAGAGGGAUGCGGAAUUCCAGGUGUAGCGGUGAAAUGCGUAGAUAUCUGGAGGAACACCGGUGGCGAAGGCGGCAUCCUGGACCGGCAUUGACGCUGAGGCGCGAAAGCCAGGGGAGCAAACGGGAUUAGAAACCCCCGUAGUCC